rnacentral:rRNA from 1 species
CCUACGGGGGGCAGCAGUGGGGGAUAUUGCACAAUGGGGGAAACCCUGAUGCAGCGACGCCGCGUGUGGGAAGACGGUCCUCUGGAUUGUAAACCACUGUCCCCAGGGACGAAGAUGACGGUACCUGGGGAGGAAGCUCCGGCUAACUACGUGCCAGCAGCCGCGGUACUACGUAGGGAGCGAGCGUUGUCCGGAAUUACUGGGUGUAAAGGGAGCGUAGGCGGGACUGCAAGUUGGGUGUAAAAUCUACCGGCUCAACCGGUAGCCGCACUCAAAACUGCAGUUCUUGAGUGAAGUAGAGGCAGGCGGAAUUCCUAGUGUAGCGGUGAAAUGCGUAGAUAUUAGGAGGAACACCAGUGGCGAAGGCGGCCUGCUGGGCUUUUACUGACGCUGAGGCUCGAAAGUGUGGGGAGCAAACAGGAUUAGAUACCCGAGUAGUC